AGCGUACAAGGUGGAUGCCUUGGCAAUCAGAGGCGAAGAAGGACGUGCUAAUCUGCGAAAAGCUUGGAUGAGUCGAUAAGAGGCGUUUAAUCCAAGAUAUCCGAAUGGGGAAACCCAGUAGAUGAAGAAUCUACUAUCACUUACUGAAUCCAUAGGUGAGUGAGGCAAACCGGGAGAACUGAAACAUCUAAGUACCCCGAGGAAAAGAAAUCAACCGAGAUUUCGUCAGUAGCGGCGAGCGAAAGCGAAAGAGCCUGUUAAUGAUAACAGUAGAGAUAGAGGAAUAAGCUGGGAAGCUUAGCGACACAGGGUGAUAGCCCCGUACUCAAAAUCCAGGCUGUGGUACUAAGUUAACGAGAAGUAGGGCGGGACACGUGAUAUCCUGUUUGAAGAUGGGGGGACCAUCCUCCAAGGCUAAAUACUCCUGAUUGACCGAUAGUGAACCAGUACUGUGAAGGAAAGGCGAAAAGAACCCCGGUGAGGGGAGUGAAAUAGAACCUGAAACCUUGUACGUACAAGCAGUGGGAGCCCGCAAGGGUGACUGCGUACCUUUUGUAUAAUGGGUCAGCGACUUAUAUUUUGUAGCGAGGUUAACCGAAUAGGGGAGCCGAAGGGAAACCGAGUCUUAACUGGGCGUCUAGUUGCAAGGUAUAGACCCGAAACCCGGUGAUCUAGCCAUGGGCAGGUUGAAGGUUGGGUAACACUAACUGGAGGACCGAACCGACUAAUGUUGAAAAAUUAGCGGAUGACUUGUGGCUGGGGGUGAAAGGCCAAUCAAACCGGGAGAUAGCUGGUUCUCCCCGAAAUCUAUUUAGGUAGAGCCUUGAGCGGACACCUUCGGGGGUAGAGCACUGUUUCGGCUAGGGGUCCAUCCCGGAUUACCAACCCGAUGCAAACUACGAAUACCAAAGAGUGAUACUCAGGAGACACACGGCGGGUGCUAACGUCCGUCGUGGAGAGGGAAACAACCCAGACCGCCAGCUAAGGUCCCAAAGUCUAUAUUAAGUGGGAAACGAAGUGGGAAGGCUUAGACAGCUAGGAUGUUGGCUUAGAAGCAGCCAUCAUUUAAAGAAAGCGUAAUAGCUCACUAGUCGAGUCGGCCUGCGCGGAAGAUGUAACGGGGCUCAAAUAUAGCACCGAAGCUGCGGCAUCAGUAGCAAUACUGUUGGGUAGGGGAGCGUUGUGUAAGCGGAUGAAGGUGUGUUGAGAAGCAUGCUGGACGUAUCACAAGUGCGAAUGCUGACAUAAGUAACGAUAAAACGGGUGAAAAACCCGUUCGCCGGAAGACCAAGGGUUCCUGUCCAACGUUAAUCGGGGCAGGGUGAGUCGGCCCCUAAGGCGAGGCUGAAGAGCGUAGUCGAUGGGAAACAGGUUAAUAUUCCUGUACUUGGUAAAGCUGCGAUGUGGGGACGGAGUAGGUUAGGUUAUCGCACUGUUGGAUAUGUGCGUUUAAGUUGGUAGGUGGGAAGUUUAGGCAAAUCCGGACUUCCUUAACACUGAGAGAUGAUGACGAGGCUCUACGGAGCUGAAGUAACUGAUACCACACUUCCAGGAAAAGCCACUAAGCGAAAGGCUUUACUAAACCGUACUGAAAACCGACACAGGUGGUCAGGUAGAGAAUACUCAGGCGCUUGAGAGAACUCGGGUGAAGGAACUAGGCAAAAUAGCACCGUAACUUCGGGAGAAGGUGCGCCGGCGUAGAUUGUAGUCCCUUGCGGAUGAAGGUUGAACCGGUCGAAGAUACCAGCUGGCUGCAACUGUUUAUUAAAAACACAGCACUCUGCAAACACGAAAGUGGACGUAUAGGGUGUGAUGCCUGCCCGGUGCUGGAAGGUUAAUUGAUGGUGUAAUCGAAAGAGAAGCUCCUGAUCGAAGCCCCAGUAAACGGCGGCCGUAACUAUAACGGUCCUAAGGUAGCGAAAUUCCUUGUCGGGUAAGUUCCGACCUGCACGAAUGGCAUAAUGAUGGCCAGGCUGUCUCCACCCGAGACUCAGUGAAAUUGAAAUCGCCGUGAAGAUGCGGUGUACCCGCGGCUAGACGGAAAGACCCCGUGAACCUUUACUAUAGCUUGACACUGAACAUUGAAUUUUGAUGUGUAGGAUAGGUGGGAGACUUUGAAGUAGGAACGCCAGUUUCUAUGGAGUCGUCCUUGAAAUACCACCCUUUAACGUUUGAUGUUCUAACGAAGAUUGCGGAACGCGGUCUCGGACAGUGUCUGGUGGGUAGUUUGACUGGGGCGGUCUCCUCCCAAAGAGUAACGGAGGAGCACGAAGGUUUGCUAAUCACGGUCGGACAUCGUGAGGUUAGUGCAAUGGUAUAAGCAAGCUUAACUGCGAGACAGACAAGUCGAGCAGGUACGAAAGUAGGUCAUAGUGAUCCGGUGGUUCUGAAUGGAAGGGCCAUCGCUCAACGGAUAAAAGGUACUCCGGGGAUAACAGGCUGAUACCGCCCAAGAGUUCAUAUCGACGGCGGUGUUUGGCACCUCGAUGUCGGCUCAUCACAUCCUGGGGCUGAAGUAGGUCCCAAGGGUAUGGCUGUUCGCCAUUUAAAGUGGUACGCGAGCUGGGUUUAGAACGUCGUGAGACAGUUCGGUCCCUAUCUGCCGUGGGCGUUGGAGAAUUGGUUGGGGCUGCUCCUAGUACGAGAGGACCGGAGUGGACGCACCACUGGUGUUCCGGUUGUGUCGCCAGACGCAUUGCCGGGUAGCUAAGUGCGGAAGAGAUAAGUGCUGAAAGCAUCUAAGCACGAAACUUGCCAAGAGAUGAGUUCUCCCAGAUUUAAAAUCUGUAAGGGUUGU
rnacentral:rRNA from 1 species